GCCUGGGUGGCUCAGUCGGUUAAGCGUCUGACUUCGGCUCAGGUCCUGAUCUCGUGGUCUGUGAGUUCGAGCCCCGCGUCGGGCU
rnacentral:tRNA from 1 species